rnacentral:rRNA from 1 species
UACGUAGGGUGCGAGCGUUAAUCGGAAUUACUGGGCGUAAAGCGUGCGCAGGCGGUUGUGCAAGACAGAUGUGAAAUCCCCGGGCUUAACCUGGGAACUGCAUUUGUGACUGCACAGCUAGAGUACGGCAGAGGGGGAUGGAAUUCCGCGUGUAGCAGUGAAAUGCGUGGAUAUGCGGAGGAACACCGAUGGCGAAGGCAGUCCCCUGGGCCUGUACUGACGCUCAUGCACGAAAGCGUGGGGAGCAAACAGG